rnacentral:rRNA from 1 species
UACGAAGGGGGCGAGCGUUGUUCGGAAUUACUGGGCGUAAAGGGCGCGUAGGCGGCCGAGCAAGUUAGAUGUGAAAGUCCUGGGCUUAACCUGGGGACUGCAUUUGAUACUGCUUGGCUUGAAUUCGGGAGAGGAUAGCGGAAUUCCCAGUGUAGAGGUGAAAUUCGUAGAUAUUGGGAAGAACACCGGUGGCGAAGGCGGCAUUCUGGACCGAUAUUGACGCUGAGGAGCGAAAGCGUGGGGAGCGAACGAGGA